rnacentral:lncRNA from 1 species
GACCCCCAGAGCAGCUUGAGGAAGGGCUAUGAGCAGCAUAUUCAGGCAUAUUCCAGACCUCGCAAGGCUGAGUGCAGCAUAUUCAGGCAUCUCACUGUUUUCUACUCAGGAACGAAAUGCAGGUCAUCAUUUGUUGGUCUUCGUAUUGCUCCUAGCCAAAAGCAUCCUCCAGAACAUAUUAGGCAUCCUCUGUCCUCGCUUCAAUACCCACCUUAAAGCUGGAUGUAGGACUUCACUGCAGCCCCUAAAAGCAAAUCUCAUUCUGCCGAGCAUUAGCUAAUCAUGUAGAUUUCUGCUGAAAAUCUAAU